rnacentral:rRNA from 1 species
UACGUAGGUGGCAAGCGUUGUCCGGAUUUAUUGGGUUUAAAGGGUGCGUAGGCGGCUUUGUAAGUCAGUGGUGAAAUAUGGCAGCUUAACUGUCAAGGUGCCAUUGAUACUGCGGGGCUUGAGUACAGAUGAGGUAGGCGGAAUUGACGGUGUAGCGGUGAAAUGCUUAGAUAUCGUCAAGAACACCUAUAGCGAAGGCAGCUUACUAGGCUGUAACUGACGCUGAGGCACGAAAGUGUGGGGAUCAAACAGG